ACUCCUACGGGAGGCAGCAGUGGGGAAUAUUGCACAAUGGGCGCAAGCCUGAUGCAGCCAUGCCGCGUGUAUGAAGAAGGCCUUCGGGUUGUAAAGUACUUUCAGCGGGGAGGAAGGCAAUACGGUUAAUAACCGUGUUGAUUGACGUUACCCGCAGAAGAAGCACCGGCUAACUCCGUGCCAGCAGCCGCGGUAAUACGGAGGGUGCAAGCGUUAAUCGGAAUUACUGGGCGUAAAGCGCACGCAGGCGGUCUGUCAAGUCGGAUGUGAAAUCCCCGGGCUCAACCUGGGAACUGCAUUCGAAACUGGCAGGCUUGAGUCUUGUAGAGGGGGGUAGAAUUCCAGGUGUAGCGGUGAAAUGCGUAGAGAUCUGGAGGAAUACCGGUGGCGAAGGCGGCCCCCUGGACAAAGACUGACGCUCAGGUGCGAAAGCGUGGGGAGCAAACAGGAUUAGAUACCCGAGUAGUCCCAU
rnacentral:rRNA from 1 species